AGUUUGGAUCAUGGCUCAGGAUGAACGCUAGCGGCAGGCUUAAUACAUGCAAGUCGUGGGGCAGCAGGUUUGUAGCAAUACAGAUGCUGGCGACCGGCAAACGGGUGCGGAACACGUACAGAACCUUCCUUUGAGCGGGGAAUAGCCCAGAGAAAUUUGGAUUAAUACCCCAUAGUAUAAUGAAGUGGCAUCACUUUAUUAUUAAAGAUUUAUCACUCGAAGAUGGCUGUGCGGCUGAUUAGGUAGUUGGCGGGGUAAAGGCCCACCAAGCCUGCGAUCAGUAACUGGUGUGAGAGCACGACCAGUCACACGGGCACUGCGACACGGGCCCGACUCCUACGGGAGGCAGCAGUAAGGAAUAUUGGUCAAUGGGGGCAACUCUGAACCAGCCAUGCCGCGUGGAGGAUGAAGGUCCUCUGGAUUGUAAACUUCUUUUAUAUGGGACGAAAAAAGGCUUUUCUAAGUCGUCUGACGGUACCAUAUGAAUAAGCACCGGCUAACUCCGUG
rnacentral:rRNA from 1 species